UUUAUGUAAGAAACGGUGUAAGCCAGCUAUUUAAUAGUUGGUAACAAGCCUUUCUUAUGUUUACUACAAACGCUUCAGUUAUAGAAUGUUUACUGUGUAUAACACAAUUAUAUACAACUUUCAGCAACGGAUCUCUUGGCUCUCGCAUCGAUGAAGAACGCAGCGAAAUGCGAUAAGUAAUGUGAAUUGCAGAAUUCAGUGAAUCAUCGAAUCUUUGAACGCACCUUGCACUCCUUGGUAUUCCGAGGAGUAUGCCUGUUUGAGUCUCAUGGAAUUCUCAACCCCUAAAUUUUGUAAUGAAGUUUAGUGGGCUUGGACUUGGAGGUUGUGUCGGCUUCUAGUCGACUCCUCUGAAAUGCAUUAGCGUGAAUCUUACGGAUCGCCUUCAGUGUGAUAAUUAUCUGCGCUGUGGUGUUGAGGUAUUUAUUAGUUCAUGCUUAUAGUCGUCUCUUACCGAGACAAUUUAUGACAAUCUGAGCUCAAAUCAGGUAGGACUACCCGCUGAACUUAAGCAUAUCAAUAAGCGGAGGA
rnacentral:rRNA from 1 species